rnacentral:misc_RNA from 1 species
GGAAAUUUAUGCAAGUUACGGUUUAAAACAGUAAUGAAAACUACUAGGAAAGAGCAAUAUAUGAAAGGGUACAAUCUUUAUUAAAGAACUCGUAGUUCCAGAAAACUUAGAGACGAUCAAGGACUAAUUAAGUUGGUAAGCAACAAAUUAUUCUUCUUUAACCAACGAAGAGCAACAAUUAUGCUGAUAUUACUCAACAUUUCUGUUGCAGGAUAUCUUGUAUUAGUAGUUCCAUAUUGAGAUAAGAAGACCCAUCUUCCUCCAUUGAAUUUUUUGCCAUGAUGCUAAACUCUUUCGCUCUUUUUCUUCUUUCCUCAGCCUCCUCUCCUUCAUCCAUCAACCUUUCUAUAGCCCUUGCAACAGCUUCCCUUUUCACCAAAACUCCAACCAGCUCUUCCUUUCCCCAUCUCACAGUAACCUCUGUCCCAACCUUUACACCAGUCUUCAGCACGUCCACAACUAGCCUCUCAUUGCAGAACUGAUCUGCAAAAAGUGGCCAUGUAACCAUCGGUGUACCAGCACAUAUCCCUUCUAGCGUUGAGUUCCAUCCACAAUGUGUUAAGAACCCCCCAAUUGCAGGGUGUGACAGUAUUAAUACUUGUGGUGCCCAACCUCCAAUUAUAAGACCUCUCUCUUUGGUCCUUUCCUCAAAACCACCAUCUACAAUCCACUCUUCUAUUUCGUUUGACUUUCCCUCUCCUCUUAAAACCCAAAUGAAAGGUCUGUUUGACGCUUCUAAGCCUAGACCAAGCUCUAUCAGUUGUGAAGUCAAUAAAUUGCAAAGGCUACCAAAGCAUACGUAUAUUACAGACCCUGGUUGCUUUGAAUCAAGCCACUUGAAGCAUUCAGAUUCUUCAAUUGAGGCCUUAUUCCCUCUCUGAACCUUAUCCAAGCUGUUCUUGUUGUAUAAUGAAACCGGACCAAUGCACCAAACUUUAUCCCUCUUUACCUUCUUGUAUUCUCGGACACAUGCUGCCUCCAACUCUUCGAAGGAAUUAAUAAGAAUCCCAUAUGUCAGCUUUUCAGCUUCUUCCAAUUGCACAUGAAUCGCACCCGCGUUUGGAAGCGCAGCUUCUGGGAGCUGCUCUUUUGUUAAUUCAAUAUGAUGAGGCAAUCCAGGAAUAACAAAGUAUUCGGACUUAGCUUUUACACUCUCAAGUAUCCCGGAAAUGUAAACGCAGUGCACGCAUAGCAUAGAAAAGCAACAAAAGCCGUUGAAAGCUAUUCUUGGAACACCAAGCUUCUUAGCAACCUGAGCAGUGUAUGGCAAACACAUAUCAGAAAUUAUGCAAUUAGGCCUUGGCUUUAGCUCUUCAAGCAAUCUUUGGACUGGCUCCAGAAGCCGGGAGGUUGACAAGAAGAACUCAAGGGCCGAACCCAAUGAAGGAAGCAUGUCAAGAUUCUCGCAAUCUUUAGGUAAUCCUGCUUCUUCUCCAGGAAAUUGGAGUUCAAUAAACUGAAUUCUGAGUCCAGAUUCCACAGCACGAGAAAGGGUUGGUGUGAAACGCUUUGCAUUCAGUGGUGUAGUGAUUACUGUAACAAUCAUUCCAUGAUGAGCUAAUAAUCUAGCUAUGUCCAUCAUAGGAAUCAUGUGGCCUUGGGCCAUGAAAGGAAACAAGAGAAAGUGCAGUUGGUGGGACUCGGAAUCCAUGGUGGUGAUAAUACGAAGUUCUGAACAAUGGUUAUGUCUAUAGUAUGGGAUGGGGUAUAUAUUGCUUCUCCUUCUACCGGCAUACAGAGAGGAUACAAAUGCUAGCUUCUCUUGAGACAGUGCAGGAGCCUAGCUGGUGGAGUCUGUGGUUCCAAAGACGAGAGCAUACAUAUAAAGAAUAUUGUUUGCAUAUUCUUUAGCCUUUUCUGGAUCUCGGCAGAUGCUAAACGGAACCAAGGUUUGUCUGGAUAAGACAAAGAGAAGGUGACUUCGAGGUCCAAAUUACGGUGAAAUUUGUUAAGCUAAUUAUAAAAAAUAAUAUGAGAAAAUUCAAGGCAAAUUCACAAUUCAUUACUUAGUGGUAUCAAAGAAUGAGAAAUUUU